UCCACUUUAAAAUAAAAUUAAAGCUUCAUUAAUUAAUAAAGAAAUGGUUAACCGUGUACACGAAAAAGUAGGGGUUGUGUAAACGUUAACACUUUUUUGUAACCGUUCACAUCCCUAAUAUCCAGUACUCAUUAUCUUAAUUGCUAAUUCUUUAUCCACAAAUAUGGUCCCUUCAAUGGACCAGGAAGUGCUUCAUAAAAGGACCUUCUACGUCAUCAAGGCACGCCACUUGUGUUUGGAGUAUGACGUUCACUAAGUGGUUGGCAGACUGGAAAAACACAGGAUUUUACAGGCGUGUGUGUGUGUGUGUGUGUGUGUGUGUGUGUGUGUGUGUGUGUGUGUGUGUGUGUGUGUGUGUGUGUGUG